rnacentral:lncRNA from 1 species
UUAGCCUUAUUCACUUGUUUAUUUUUAUCAUUGCCAUCCAAGCUCGGAUGCACCUUCAUUGGAUACUUCUUUGAGGAGCAACCAAUCUAGAAGGUUUGCCACUCAACCAACCAAAAAUUUAUUAAAACACACAAAAUUUAAAACAUAAAUAAUAAUAUUAACUCAAAAUUUAAAUUUGUUCAUGGGGGACAAAACACCCCAAAAGUACAAAGCCAAAAUCAAAAUACAGAAUUCUGGAAAUACAGUAGAAAUAAAACAUAAAAUAAAAAAUAAAAAACUUAGCCCUCCAAGGACUCAGAACCCUCCUCACUACCGGCUUCAGAACCGGUAGCCUCAUCAUCAUC